rnacentral:snRNA from 1 species
GUGCUCAUUUCGGCAGCACAUACACUAAAAUUGGAAAGAUACAGAAAAGAUUAGCAUGGCCCCUGCAUAAGGAUGACACACAAAUUUAUGAAGUGUUCCAUAUUUUU